rnacentral:rRNA from 1 species
GACGAACGCUGGCGGCGUGCCUAAUACAUGCAAGUAGAACGCACAGUUUAUACCGUAGCUUGCUCCACCAUAAACUGUGAGUUGCGAACGGGUGAGUAACGCGUAGGUAACCUGCCUGGUAGCGGGGGAUAACUAUUGGAAACGAUAGCUAAUACCGCAUAAUAUUAAUUAUUGCAUGAUAAUUGAUUGAAAGAUGCAAUUGCAUCACUACCAGAUGGACCUGCGUUGUAUUAGCUAGUAGGUGAGGUAACGGCUCACCUAGGCGACGAUACAUAGCCGACCUGAGAGGGUGAUCGGCCACACUGGGACUGAGACCCGGCCCAGACUCCUACGGGAGGCAGCAGUAGGGAAUCUUCGGCAAAGGACGAAAGUCUGACCGAGCAACGCCGCGGGAGUGAAGAAGGUUGUCGGAUCGUAAAGCUCUGUUGUAAGAGAAGAACGGGUGUGAGAGUGGAAAGUUCACAAUGUGACGGUAUCUUACCAGAAAGGGACGGCUAACUACGUG